CGGCAUCAGCCUAAGUUACCUGAUCCAGCUGCAAGUAACUUCCUAAUUAGAGGGAUUUUUAAACAUGCCCCUUCCUGCUCUCCUGGCUGGAUCAUUAAACUAAAUCACUUGGUAUAAGCCAGUCAACAUUGUCCUGGGAAUCCUGUCCUGCUCCUGUUAACCUGCAUUUUCAAGUCAACACAAUCCUGGGAAUGCCAUCUGAGUUUCCAUGUAUCCUGCCCUGCUCCUGUGAGUGUAUCCCUGACUCCUGCUGAUUUUCUGGGUUCGUAUUCAUUCUUACCGACUGAGUGGCAGAAUAUGUUCUUCAGAUUUAGCUUCAAACCAUGGGCUUGUUGGUGCCUCAGUAUACAGGAGAGAAGAUUGGCAGUGCAAAGUCACAGGGGACAUAUGGUCUGGAGAUGUCCACAGCAAACCCGGGCUUACCGUCUGUCUCAGCACAGAACUUUCCGAAUCACUUCCAGGAACAUUAUAGUUUAUAAGAGAUGGGCUGCAGAAUGUUAUUGAUGGGUAGUCAUGCCUGCUAUCCAAGUAAGAAGAGGGAGUGUACAUUGGACUUUGAUCCAUAGGCACUGUGCCACUGUACGGCACUGAAGAGUUUAUGGCAGAGGGAGAACUUUUGAUAUCUGCUUUCCCAUGAAGAAUAUGCUGCAUUGGCUGUAGUUGGGAAUAUUCCUUGUGCAUGUAAGUGGACAUUUUUAACAAAGGAUAAAUGUUUUUUGGAGCCUCACAUUGUCUUCCAUGCACUAGAGAAAAAAGGCAAAAAGAUAUAUAUAAUGCGCAAGAUAUGUGUUUACUAAAGUAUGAAAGGCAAUUAUUAACAUAUUUGAAUUCAGUAAGCAGCAACAGAUCUACUUUGCAGCAGGUCUGAAUAUCACUCCUCUUUACUGAGACUGGUAGUGGCAGUGACUUUAGUCAGAAAAACAUUUAUUUACUAAGGAUACACUGACACACUGGGGGUCACACAAUGAGCUGUAAUGACAGAAUUAGUUCCUUAUAUCUAUAUCUUAUCGUUAACUCUAUUGCAUUACCAGUCUGAAUAAACAACAUGAAAGCCA